CUUGAAGCAGCCAGCAGGCGGGUGCAAUUAGUCAGAAUGGAUGACCAGGACAGAGUAAGCCAAGCAUCAAGUGUGGCCACCAUUUCCUUCUUCCCUGUCAAUACGGAAAAUGAUGGAAAGGUACAAGCAUUUGGGAAAAGAUGCCAGGC